UCAAACUUGGUCAUUUAGAGGAAGUAAAAGUCGUAACAAGGUUUCCGUAGGUGAACCUGCGGAAGGAUCAUUAACAGGUCCAAGUCAAUCUGCGUGUGAUUGGGUCCCCCCGGUCGGCCGAAUGGCAGGCCGGGACAAGGGCUCGCCACGGAGAUUUGGUACCACCACCCGUGUCUACUGAACCGAUGUUGCCUUGGCGGGCCGUCGCCUCUGCGCGACUGCCGGGGGAGUCCUCCCCGGGCAAGCGCCCGCCAGUGGGAUACUUGAACUCUUAUCUGAAGUGGUUAUUGUCUGAGCCAUAAGCGCAAUAGUUAAAACUUUCAACAACGGAUCUCUUGGUUCCGGCAUCGAUGAAGAACGCAGC
rnacentral:misc_RNA from 1 species